AGUUACAGAAGGGCUGGAACUGCAGAAAGCUGAGAUAAGAGCCCUGCCUCUUCCUUGGUGAGGUGAGCACGAGAUGAAGGAUGAAGAGGAACUCAAGAUGCUGUCAAGAUUUCCCUUUGUACAUAUCUGAUCAGUUCAUGCCAGGUUUGGCUCCGUGCCUUUCCAGGGGAGAGCCUCUACCAUCAGGACAAGGUGGUUCAGCCCUCAGUGCAGCAAUGGAGACAGGAUUAGAAGCUGGGCUGGGCAUGGCUCCUACUCCACUAAGGCAUGGGAUCUGUGAGAAAUACCUCGGGAAGAGGUUGUCAGAGGUGUACCUUUUACUGGAGAGCUGGGUAUUGCCUGGAUGUGCUGUGGCAGCUCCUUGGCUGCCAUAAAUCAGUAUAAAUGCAUUCACUCUAGUGGAGGUGUCGUGUCUGCUGUAGCCAGGCCCUGUGAUGUUGCUCAUUACACAGGUUUUGGGUAAGGAGCCAAGAGAUGAAGGGAGGCACGGCUACAACAUUUUAAAUAAAUAAGUAAUAAGACUGUA